AGUUGGUUAGAAUGCCUGCCUGUCACGCAGGAGGUCACGAGUUCGAGUCUCGUACGCACCG
rnacentral:tRNA from 1 species